UACGUAGGGUGCAAGCGUUGUCCGGAAUUAUUGGGCGUAAAGAGCUCGUAGGCGGUUUGUCGCGUCUGCCGUGAAAGUCCGGGGCUCAACUCCGGAUCUGCGGUGGGUACGGGCAGACUAGAGUGAUGUAGGGGAGACUGGAAUUCCUGGUGUAGCGGUGAAAUGCGCAGAUAUCAGGAGGAACACCGAUGACGAAGGCAGGUCUCUGGGCAUUAACUGACGCUGAGGAGCGAAAGCAUGGGGAGCGAACAGG
rnacentral:rRNA from 1 species